rnacentral:lncRNA from 1 species
UAGGGAAAAAUAUUAAAAUGGCUACAGCAACUUGAGCUUUUCACGGAAUGGCCACUAUAAUGAAUGAAUGAAUGUCCAUGGUUAGCCCCUCUCCCAGCGUACCUGCAGGGAGACUGAAUCAUAGCUGUGAUAAGUUAAGAAUGAAAUGGUGACUUCUAGACACACCUCUUGUGAAAUAGAAACAAGGCACUUGUUCCUGAGAGUGUCCUCACCCCUAUGGACUCUUCAUAGCGAUUGCAAAAGGCUGGGAUAAUGAUGUUUCAUGCUGACAUUUUGAUGGCACCAGUGUCCCAUCAUGACAUGGUGGGGAAACUCAAUAGGGUAGGAUUAGAUAAUUUUGCAAAAGAUAAUUAAGGGACUCUUUUCUUUUGGUUCCCAACCAAUUCAUGAAGUUGUGACUGUGUCAGAAACCUUCCCUUACCUUUAGAGUUAGUGAGGUGCAGUGCAAAGAACACAAAUGUGAAGCAGACUCAUCUGUGUAAUUUUGUGCAAAUUAAUGAAUGUUUCCAAAUUCUUGGUUUUAUGUGUUAAAUAACUACAUCCUAGGGAUGAUGGGUAUAUUAAAUAAACUAAUGCAUGUUAAUUACUUCUUAUAGCUCCUAAUGAGUUAGCAUGAAUUUACAGAAUUGGACACUUGGGUUCAAAUUAUCAGUCUGCCUCUUGUGCAUUUUGGUAAUUUAGAGGAAGCUAUUUAAUUUUUCUCAACUCCAUUUUCCUCAGUUGGGAAAUGGAGAUAAUAGUAUCACCCAAUAUGGUGUGUUGUUGUUUGGGUUAGGGAGUGAAUUAGCGUCAUAAAUAGCAUACCAUAACAUUCUAUUCAGGUUAACUUUUAUUUUAUAAUCAGUUAUUUUCAUUUCUAUGAUUCAUUUAAUGAUAAUAAAAUUAAAUGACCCUACUGGCUGCUAACAUUUCAAUUUUAUGGGAAAAAUGUAGUUUUAAUAUUUGGAGAAGGAAUAUGCAAUGAAUAUCUAGCAUGAAUAUUGACAAAUUUACAUUAAAAUUAUUUUAAAGUACUCGUUAUUCUGGGUUACUGAAGACAAAUAUGUGUCUUGGUCUUCAAGAGGCAAUAACUAAAUAUGAAGAAUCUUUUAGAAAUUUAUUAUUUUAAUUUUUUUUUAGAUACAGGGUCUUACUUUAUGGCUCAGUGUGGAGUGAAGUGGUGCAAUCAUAGCUCAAUGCAUCCUUGAACUCCUGGGCCCAAAGAUGCCUCAGCCUCCCAAGUAGCUGGGACGACAGGUGUGUGCCACCACAUCCAGCUAAUUUUUGUAUUUUUCAAAGAGACAGGGUCUCA